GCGGGGGAUGGGAGGUAAAGAAAAUAAAGUUGUAGCUGGCUAUAUGCAAGGUUGCAAUCCCGCCCUGGAAACCCCUCUGUGAUGACUGUGUGCUGCUGUUCGCCAGCUCCCUACAGAGGUUCAGAUUGAGGGGGGGGGCAGGGGGUGGGGGCGACGGGGGGGAGGGGAGAAGAGGAAAGGGGUUGCAUCGGGAUUUUUCUUGCGUGUGUGUGUGGGUUUUUUUUUUUUUUUUUCCCCGAAGAGUUCAACCCUUAGAUUACCGCACUGCAUAUCCGGCUGGAAGCAGCUUUCAGUACCGCCGACAGCAGCAGCGAGCGAGCGAGCAGCUCCAGCCGGACACUGCCACCCAACUGAGCUGCACCCCGAGUUGGGAGAAAUGGCUUUCGCGGAAGGGGGGCAAGCGGCGGGGACUGGGGGUGGCAAGCAACAGCAAGGGAAGACCCAGCGAGGAAGGGGCGGGGGGGACGAGGAGGAAGGGAGGAAGAAAGGAGGGAAAGAGAGCGAGAGAAAAGUCAAGCCCGGUACUUACUUCGCCCGAAAUCUCCAGGGCCCAAGCAUGGUGGCAGCCCAUGAAGAUGCCGACCCGCUGCGCGGGCGCUGCGCGGAGCCGCCGGGGCGGCGGAGGCGAGGACGGCAGCGCCGGGGAGCUCGGAACAUAUGGAGUACACCCCAUGUGCACAGCACAGAGGUUGGAAUCCAGCUGUAACUCAAGAUUGCUGCAAGACAUAGAGCAAGAAAUGUUGAUCCUUGAGGCACAUGAAUUUGCCCAGCAAGAACUUCAUCAGUCUUAAUGGUUUCUGAAUACUGGAUCUAGGCUCUGCAAAUGAGAGAUUUACAUGACUGAAUAUAUGGCUCAUGGAACAGCUUUCAGGAUUGAUGUGAUGGCAGACCUUUGUAUCAGAAAGGGGUUUUUCUCUGUUUCUUUUUUUGCUGUUAUACAUUGAUUAAAAUCCCAUGUAGAUGCUGUAAUAAGAAAUCAAUUUCCUUGCUUUGUGCUUACAUUUUCUUAUAAAAGAAAUUCCUGUUUAUUCAACAAAUUACAUUUAAUUAAAUGAGCAGAUUAAAUUUGUAUUUUAUUUCCUUUCAUUACAUAUUCCUUUGUUCUUAAUAAUAUUUUUAGCCAGCAUAUUUUUUGUUUGCAUACACUUUAUGGAGCUCAGUGAUUGACCUUCACACCCAAGAUGAAAUGGAAUAAGUGUCUUUGUUAUGGUGAUGGCAAAGUAUAAAAAACAUACAGGAAAAUGUUACCAUCCCUUGCCUAUUAAAUUUGCAGAUGUGACAGGAUAUUCAGAACAAUAACUGCAUGUGAUUUAUCAGUACUGACUGCUGACUGCCACAGUUUCAUUUGCUACACUAACACCCAAAAUGCUACUGUAAAACAUAAACCUUUUGUUUUGCAUUCCUCCCUUUGACAAAAACUGAUUUAAUUGACUUGUCUGUCCCAUGUGUUGUCUUCAUUCCAAAUUCCUAGCUGGAAAAAUAUAGUACAAUCGUGAAAAACCUUCUGACCCUUCUAAAUAUGACAGGUAUAGAAUCUCUAGCCAUUUAACAUAUACUUCUGCUUUCAGCAUACUUUCCCAAAUAAAGACUGUAUUUCUGAAUAUCAAAUAUAUUACUUGUGUAGAGUAAAAAGUAACAAAUCUUCUCACUUUGCAGAAAAAACCCACAUAUUAUCCUUUAUCAUUAUUUAAUAUAUAAUUUUAUCUUUCUUUUUUCAAAUAGGAACAAGAUUUGCAUGCCAGAAAUAUACCCUUCUAUAUUAUACUAUAUCAGAAAUAUCUCUGAUAAUGCCAUGCAAUUUUUCUUCAUCCUUUGCACACCUGAAAAACUUAUUUAUUGCCUUGAAUACUUGCCUUGAAUACUCUUCCACUAAGGAUAGGAUUCUUUCAAAUGUUUUCAUUAAUGAAGCUGUUAAUUAAAGCUGCUAGUUUACAGACUGCCAAAGCUUUAAAGAGUUUGCUUAAAGAUCCAACAUGUAUGUUAGAUAAAUUAGCAUCUAAGAAAAUGCAUCGUGUUGUUUAUUGUUGUCAUUGUCAUUUAUUCCCUCUUUUUUUUACAUAACUUCCAGUAGAAGUUUGUUGAUAACAAGAGAUUCAAAAGUUAGAGCUUCAGUGAACUCAUAUUAAAUAAUAUCUUGAGAUAAACUUGUGGAUAAGUUCAGGGGCUUGCAUGCUUAAAGGGGGCUGAAGUGGACUUAGGAUAUCUGGGAACGUGAAUGAAGACAAUUCCACUCAGAAGAGCCUUCUGUGACACCUAAUCCUGAAGAGGCAAGAAACUGUUCCAGUGGGAGAUGAGCUGUUCUUACUGGAAAAAUUCAAGCACAGCAAAUAGGUACUGGAGCAUAAUUUAAAGGAGACUUUUCUGCUCCAGGCUGUCCCUGUGCUUAAUGGUAAACAGGUGUUAAAAGCCUCCUUAAGAUCUGAAUCAUCCUCUCAAGAAAGCUAUUUCUUUCAGUUGACUAUGUCCCUUUAUCCCUCAGGGAAAGUAAGUGUCUAAAAUAAUGUACAGGCUCAUUUAGGGGCUGAAAGCUAGAUGGGAAAGAGUCAGGUUCAGGAAUCUAUUUUUGGCUAUGCCAGAACUCACUAAAAAUGAGUAAGCUUCCAUGCUGCUAACCUCAGUUCUGGAAAUUAAAAGAAGCAGCUUACAUGAAAGUUCUGCACUAUUGUGUUAUGUUCUUUAAAGGUUAGUAAUGAAAAAAUAGAGUUUGAGGCUGUGUCUGUGGGAAGUCUUUAAUCUUAAACCAGAUGAAUUAACAACUCCGAGGGACAAAAGAUUCUGACACAGACAAAAAUUAUGUUUGACUGAGUCAAUCUACUAAAAGAAAUUUUUUUCUUGACCCAUAUAAAUAUAUUCCAUGAUAUAUUACAAUUCAGAACAAGCCUGUUUAAGAGUAAAUUAGCCUUACGCUGAUUGCUCCUUCACAUCUCCCAAAGAAAGUACAAUGCACGUGAGAAAUUCACAUUUUGUUGCUGAGAAGUUAUAUGUCUUAAAAGCAGCUCUUGACUUCCAAUUUCUUCAUUGUUCUGCUGAGAUUUUUCCCAGUGUUGUUUUUGACCUACUAACUUCUCUGCAGUCAAUUUCUUUUUGGAGUAUGGAGAAUCAGAAACAGUCUCAUGUCAAAUAUUUAACUCUAGCAUGUGUGACAUGCCAUAUGUUCAUCUAUUAUCUACAGCCUAAUAUAUACCACAGAAUAAUCUUGUAACAGAUCUUUUCUUCUCAUGUUCUUCAACAUACAUGGUCCAACCAGAAAGUAAUUGACAUUAUGAUGCUUAUACCAAUUCAGAGAGUGAGGAAUACCUCCUCUUGACAGCCUUAACAUUAUGAUUCAUUACACCUAACUUGUCCUGAUCUCAUUCCUUUACAUCUUAACCAGAUAAUGGCACUUAACACUAAUCUUGAGGAGGGUGGAAACACCUAAUGUAAGGUUAGCCCUGUGCUUUUAUCAGUUAUAAAGCUGAUUAUUGAAAAGCAAUUGAAAAAAACUGCUAUAAAAAGGCACUGACUUUAAUAAUGGCCCAAAGCAUAUUGAGUCAAAAUGCUUUAAAUUAAUAUCAAGGAACUUUGGCCUGGAGCAUUGUAGCUUUUUUUUUUUUUUUUUUUUUUUUUUUUUACACUUAAAGUAUUCUGAAAACUGCUGACAGGAAUUUUACUUUGUUUCUUCUUGUUAUUCUGUUGUUGCUCCUUUGUAGAUUGCGGCAUUAUUCUGUUUUCUUCGUAAAGCAUCUAAUAAGAUUUGAUUCUGUCAUAAAUCAUAUAUUUAUUUUAUUGAAUAAAACAUAAUUUCUAUGCUUAAGUUAAUAUAUUGGGGUUUUUCUUUUUUUGGUUUUAUUUUUGUUUUUCUCCAACUCCGUGCUUCGGAGUUCCUCUGUAAUUUGAUACUAAAUUACUGGGUUUGCAGGUUAUUAAAAACAGAGUAUUUGGCUCAUCUGUCACAUAUAUCUCAUUGAAGGAAUAUUCUAGGAAAGGUAUGCCACUCACACUAUUCUAGUUUGUUGUAAAAUGUGGUGAGACUACUCCUUUCAUACAGAAGCUCGGUGUUAAGAAAUUAUGACCUAGGAACUUGAUAACUUGACUUUUAACUGUCCCUUCAAAUUGACAGGUUUCAAAAUCACACUUAUUAAUACUUAGGGAAAGCGCUGUGUGUAGCAGGCUAAGCUUUUAUAUUCUAUAAAGCCAAUUAUGGAUCUAAACAUUUAAAAGUUUUCCUGUUUUGUUUGGCUUUUUUUCCAUUUAUAGUAAUCAGUUAACAAUCUUUUAAAUGAUCUGAGCAGCCUUAACCCAGAAUUCCACUCCAGGAAAUCCUUUUUACUCUGAAUGUUUACAGCACUCAAACCUUUUCAAACCUUAAACAAGAGCAGGGUUACUUUUUCAGUUAUAUGAAUUAACAAUAUAAAAAGAGCUGUAUGCAGUUGUGAAGCUUGCCAUAGUGUUAUCAAGUCCAAAUGUUGGACAGAUCCUUCACAAGCUGACAACACUGAUCAACAAGGUUAUAGUUUCCUUUGGUGACCUUGUUACCAAAGAUGUGAAAUUACCCAGUAACUGAAGGUAAAUGCUUGCAGUUAUAUCUUCAGGUUAAAAAAUACAUUUUAAAGAACACAGAGUUUUCAAAGAUCUUGAUAGUUUUGCAAUCAAGAGGAAAAUCCUCUUUGGUUCUAUCAGAAUAGAGAGGGUAGAUAUUAUUUCCUUUCUUUCCACUCCACAUGCCUAUCUUACAUUUUCAGUUGAGAAUAAGUG
ensembl:lncRNA